GGCAUUUCUGAUGCGCCCAAUCAUAAAUAUCUCUGUUUGCCACCAGGACUUUGUCCAAAUCUGAUUGGCUAAACAUAAUUUUGUAACGUGAAUUGAAUUAUGUGAAUUGGAUCGAAAUGAUGAAAACGUCGUUGGUUUUAUAAGAAAUGCGCAGGUGAGAAAUUGCAGCGAAAGUCUCUGAUUGGGCGCUGAUUGAUUGGGAACCUUCAGAUUUCGAACGCCGGCGUCUAACCGAUGAGCCUGCAGGGGGAAACGGCUGAGGCUGUGGCUGUGUGGGCCCCCACUGCCCGUUUCUGGGCCUACGUGUGCCGGGUGCUGGAGGACACAUCGCUGGCUGUGCGGAAGAGCGACCCACGCCUGCCCGAGCUGAAUGUCCAGUGCGUUAAGACCGGUCUCAGUGCCAUGUGUUCUCCUGGACCAUAGAGUCUCCUUAUUCUCAUGGACCAUAGAGUUCCAUUAUUCUCCUGGAGCAUAGAGUUCCCAUUAUUCCCCUGGACCAUAGAGUCCCUUUGUUCUCCUGGACCAUAGAGUUCUCUCUUCCCCUUCUCCCUCAGUCCGCUGGCUGGGGUUCACUGCACCACACACACACACAGCUGUGAUUACUGCGCCACUCUGGGGCUUCUGUGCCAGCGGAUUCUUUCGCCUGGUUUCACGAGAGGCACAACACUCUGCACAAGUGCGCCUCGAACUGAAGACGGCUCCUCCCAGCUCCUCCCACCCGCCUCCUGCUCCGGAAACCGAGAGCACCCUACCAAACCAGGCGAGCUGAGCAGGAGGGCCGUCAAUGAGCACUCGAAUGUGGAUUCCUCUUAUGAGAGGCUGACUGUGGUUCUUCCGCUGCCUCUCAUAAGUAAACUAAAAUAGUCUCGGGGAGUUUCAAGACUGAGCUUGAUACGGUGUUGGAUACUAUCUAGUCUGUAGGUAAUCAGAGCACUAAUUUAGUCAGUAAAAUGGCAAGCAUUAGGCUGAAUGGCCUGUUCUCAUUCAUGUUUUAUGUUAUGUUUAUGUUAUGUUGUUAUGUUACGUUACGUUAUUUCAUUUUUGGUGCUGUGGAUAUGACUAUUCAAUGGUGUAAAUGUAAAAGGCAAGGAAUCGUGUCUGAACACAAAACAAAUUCCGCCAUAUAAACAUGCACCUUUUGCAUUUUGAUAUUUGGCAGUUGGCAGUGCCUGCCUGUUCAGCGCUGCGCUGCUGGACCUCCGCUCUUCAGCGGGGUCUGAAGGUCUGGAGGCGAGAGGGACGUUGACGGAAGGCUCAUUACUGUGGAUUGACACCGUGCCCACGGAAAUACCGCGUAGUGUGAAAUGAACCACGCUCCAAAAACCAACGCGAAGACUCUGGCCUGUGGUCUCCCUCGGUUAUCGGCUGCGUUGGUUUGGCCUGUGCCCCGACGGCAUUCUGGGAUUUCUCUGGAUGAGUGCACGCGUGAAGACCGGGGUUUCGCUGCCUUCAGCAGUCAGGUUCUCGCCGGUAUCCUGCAGUGAGUACACCCCUCCCUCCUGUGCAGGUGAAGCCGCAUGCCCGUAAAUCCCACUGGCCCGCUGCUUCAGCAUCUUGGUGGGUAAUGACCAUAUCCCGAAAAACCAAUUAACAGUAAAAAAAAUAAAUAAAUGUUCUGAAUAAAUCCUUACGGC